UGAGAGAAGACCAACAACCAGAGUCACUACUGAGGCGGUUUCUCAAAGUUUCUAUCAUUAAUUUAUUUGCAAUAAUAUAUUAACUUCCUUCUCUCCAGCUAAUUGGAUUAAAAAUUCUGGGUUGAAAUAUCGGAAAUAACGGGAUAGUUAGAAUUGUUUUAUAACCUCAUGUUGCUCUGUCAUCAAGAAAUUUCUAAUGAGAUCAAACAUUGACAAAUAUAUACUCCAUUACUUAUUUGCUACUUCACUUCGGGUGACACUCUUUACAGAACUUAAAGUUUUGGAAAACAAUUCACAUGUUUGACAUACGUAAAGUGCCAAAAUUACUGUAUUACUAUGGUAUCUGUUUCAAUGUAAGUAAAUCUAUUUUUUUUUAAAAUUAUCCUUUGAAAAUAUUUACAUUAUUUAUUUUUAAUGAGAAGUUUUUAUUACCCAAACAAAUUUUAUAGUAUAUUUAAGAAUAUACAUUUUAUUUUUUAUUUUUUUAACUUUAUGUCCGGCCAAAAAGAUUCACCUAAAUUAAAACCAAACCAAGGAGCAAUAAUUAUCUGAGAAAUACCAAGAAUUUCACAUGUUCCUUCAUAUUACUUUUUUCAAAUAAAAUUCAGUUUUCUUAUCAACUAAAUGGCGGAAGUGAACGAGAUAGAUGGCGAGAUGAAGUUAUUACAGUAGUUGUUUUUUUUAAAACUGUAAGUUGAGACCCCGUGAUGACGUGGUCUUAGACUGAUUAAUCAAUAUAUGAACUAAAGGAGAUUUCGAACCUUGUGUGGGGGUACGUUUUCUCAUUAAUUACCACGAAGUUGUCUUUGUCGUGGAGACUGGAGAUGGACGGUCGGAGUCUUGUCUCUAUGAGGCUCUGAGAGAGGGAGGAGAGGAUGACGGAUUGGAAAAAAAUGGUCAUAACUAUGGUCUAUGAGGAGUCUAUCAAGAUCACUUAUCUCCGUAGAUAUACGAUGGAUUAACUAUUUACUGAUGGCCAAUGGUCGAAAAUUGGACAAAUAGGUAAAUAAUUUAUUUAUUUAACUAAUUUCUAAUCCGUUAGAAACUUUUUUAUUUUUAUAAGUUUAUCAUCAUUAUUUGCCUAAUCCGUUAGAAACUGAAUAAACAAUAAUAUCGUUUUUUUCCCGACCUUGGCCAUCCAUGAUUUAGUAAAUACUACUCAGAUUAACAUAAAGAAAUAAUUUUUAGUAAGUUACAGAUUAUAAGCACUAAAUACUCAAACUUUUUGGCAAUCGUAUCAAUACGCUUUUGUUAACCUAAAGACACAUGCAUGUAUGCUUAUGUCAUUGUUACAAACGACAAGUAUGUACGGUGAUAAUUUGGAUUUAUCGAGUUAAAUACUGAAUUUGCCUCCAUUUGUCAUCUUUUAUAACAAAUUUUAUUUAUUUUUUUACAAUAAUUGGUAUCAGAGAAAUCCGAACCUUGCUCUGAUACCAAUUGUUGCGGAAGAUCGUGGGUUAACUAGCACACAAUCACACACAAAGCAAAUAGAGAAGAAAAAUCAACACAAGAAUUUAACGAGGUUCGGCUAAGCCUAAUCCUCGGGGGCAGAAGCAAAGAGAGUUUUCCACUAUAAAUGAGAAGAAAAGCACAAUACAAUCUGUAGAAUCCCCAACUAUAACCCCUAUAUAUAGAUCCCAAAUAGUCUCAAACCUAUAAGAGAAAGGUUGUUGGGUCCAUCCCAUAUGUGAAAGAAGAGAAGUUUUCUUUUGCUUUGAAAACUUCAAGCCAACCAAUUAAUACUAGAAAAGAUUUGGGCAAACUUUUGUAGUAGUGUUGAUGUCAUUACAUACAUCAUCAUGGGUAUUCUGCAACUACAAAUAGGUGCCUCUACUUUCAUUUGUAGACACACCAAAAUAAAGAGAAAGAGAGUGAUUUACAAAGUAAGAAGCAAAAUACUAUGUGAGAAAAAAUAUAGAGAGUUUGAGCGGUAUUGUAGUGAGGUAAAAAAAUCAAAAGAGGAUUAUUUUUUUUGAGUGUUUAGUGAUCUUGGAGUAUUUUACUCUGUACCAUAAAUUGUAAAAUUCUUGCUAUAAUGAAAUCAGUUGCUCCUCUCGGGCCGUGAUUUUUCUCUUAUUCAAAAGGGUUUUCCACGUAAAAAUCUCGGUGUCAUUGUUUCUCUUAUUAUUAUCGUUGGUUACAGUAUUUUAGUAAUCCACAUUUAUUAUAGUCGUAUACCGUGAAUAUUAUUUCUAUGGGGGUUGAUUUUUUCAAUAACUAGUAUCAGAGUACAAGUUCUGCUCAUGCACAGAAAUAUUAUUUACAGUCAAUUUUACUCUGUGACAAAAAAAAUGUUAGGAGUAAAGUAUGAAGUAACAAGAUUCAACGGUAAUGGCGGUUUCUCCAUAUGGCAAAGAAGGAUGAAGGGCCUGCUCUUCCAACAAGGGUUAGACAUUGCACUAGAUGGAAAAGAGGAAAAGUCGAAAACCAUGAAAGCCGAGGAAUGAACACACAUGGAUAAUAAGGCAGCUAGUGAUAUCAGACUGCACUUGUCCGAUGAAGUACUCAAUAAUGUUGGGGAUGAAAAUAGUGCAUGUGGUAUUUGAAAAAGACUAGAAAGUUUAUACAUGUCCAAAUCCUUAACAAACAAGUUAUUUUUGAGAAAGAAGUUUUAUGCCAUCCAUAUGAGUGAAGGUACAAAUUUCUUGUCCCAUUUAAAUAUGUUCAAUGGAUUAAUCACGCAACUGGCAAACCUUGGAGAAACAAUCAUUGAAAUAGAUAAGGCUAUCAUGCUUCUAAACUCGUUGCCAUCUUCCUAUGGUAAUUUGGCAACAAACAUCAUGCAUGGUAGAGAUACCAUUGAUUUAAAGGAGGUCACAUCAGCCAUCCUACUCAAUUAUAAGAUGAGGAAGAAGCCCGAAAAUCAGGGGCAGACUCUUAUCAUGGAAAACAGAGGAAGAAGUUUUUAUAGAGCAUCGAGUAACCAUGAUAAAUCCAAAGCUCGUGGAAAGUACAGGAAUCGGUCAACGGGUAGAAAUUGCUACAGUUACGGUCAACCUGGUCACUUCAAAAGAGAUUUCCCAAAGAAAGGUCAAUGGAAGAGUAGUGGCUAGAAGAAUGAUGACAACACAACUGCUGUAGUGCACAAUGAUGAUUCGGUGGUUCUCUUCGUUCACGAGGAGGAGGAAUACAUGCGCUUAGCAAGCCAAGAGUCAGAAUAGGUGGUUGAUACAUCAACUUCCUAUCAAGCCACACCGGUAAGGGAAUUCUUCUAUAGGUACAAAGCAGGAGACUUUGGAAUGGUCAAAAUGAGAAAUACCAGUCACUCAAAGAUUGUGGGAAUUAGCGACAUUUGUAUCAAGAAAAAUAUCGGAUGCACAUUAGUUUUAAAAGAUGUGCGGCACGUACCAGAUCUGCGAAUGAAUUUGGUUUCAGGGAUCGCUCUAGAUCAAGGCGGGUACGAGAACCACUUCACCAAUAGGAAGUGGAGACUCACCAAGGGAUAAUUGGUGAUUGCUAAAGGAUUUACUCCCUACACAUUGUACAAGACAACCGCUGAGAUAUGUGAAAAUGAAUUAUAUGCGGCUGUAAAUGAUACGCCAGCAGAUUUAUGGCACCAGAGAUUGGGCCAUAUGAGUGAAAAGAGACUACAGAUCCUAUCCAAAAAGUCACUCAUCUCAUUUGCAAAAGGUACAACUGUGAAUUCUUGUGAUUAUUAUUUAUUUGGAAAACAACACAAGGUAUUGUUUCAAGCAACUCAUGAAAGAAAAUCGAAUAUACUUGAUUUAGUAUAUUCUGAUGUUUGUGGUCCAAUGGAUGUAGAAUCAAUGGGAGGUAGCAAAUAUUUUUUCACAUUUAUUGAUGAUGCUUCACGAAAAUUGUGGGUUUAUUUCCUGAGAACCAAAGACCAGGUAUUUCAAGUAUUUCAGAAAUUCUAUGCUCUGGUGGAAAGGGAGACAAGUUAAAAAUUAAAGUGUCUCAGGACAGACAAUAGAAGAGAGUAUACUUCAAAGGAGUUUGAAGACUACUACUCAAGCCAUGAAAUCAGACAUGAGAAGACAGUUUCUAUAACCCCACAACACAAUGAUGUAUCUGAAAGGAUGAAUUGCACCAUUGUCGAAAAAGUGAGAAGUAUGCUCAAAAUGGCAAAACUACCUAAGUCAUUUUGGGGUGAAGCAACUCGAACAACCUAUUACUUGAUUAACAAAAGUCCAUCAGUUCCAUUGGAGUUUGACAUUCCAGAGAAAGUCUGGACCAACAAAGAGGUGUCCUACUCCCAUCUGAAAGUGUUUGAAUGUAAAGCUUUUGCACAUGUGCCGAAGGAGCAGAGAACAAAGCUGGAUGACAAAGCUAUUCCCUGCAUCUUCAUUGGUUAUGGAGACGAAUAGUUUGGCUACAGAUUGUGGGACCCAGAAAGGAAGAAGAUCAUCAGAAGUAGAGAUGUGAUCUUUAGAGAAGAUGUGGUCGGGAUUGAUAGUGAUCAAUCAACAAAGACCAAAAAUGAUAAUGGUAGAAUUACUAACUUUGUUACUACUCCUACUGUACCUGUACGUAAUCUUUCCACAAGUGAAGAAUGGCACUCGGAAGGUGUAGAUGAAGAGGUUGCUAAGCAGGGGGAGCACCCUAGUCCACAAGAGGAAGAAUGAGAGCAACAACAACAGCAACAACAAGAAGGGCAACAACCUUUGAGAAGAUCUGAAAGAGAGAAGGUAGAGUCCACAAGGUAUCCUUCUUCAGAGUAUAUCCUCGUCACUGAUGAGGGGGAGCAGGGAAUUUCAAGGAGGUGCUAUCUCAUCCGGUGGAUGGAAGCCAUGUAAGAAGAGAUGAAUUCUUUACAGAAGAAUGAUACAUACGAACUGGUUGAACUUCCAAAAGGCAAAAGACCGCUCAAGUGCAAGUGGGUCUUUAAGCUCAAGAAAGAUGGAAACGACAAGCUGGUCAGACACAAAGCUCGAUUGGUGGUAAAAGGUUUCGAACAGAAGAAAGGUAUUGAUUUUGAUGAAAUUUUCUCACCUGUUGUCAAAAUGACUUCUAUUCGAACAAUCUUGAGUUUGGCAGCUAGCCUAGAUCUUGAAGUGAAGUAGUUGUACGUGAAAAUUGUAUUUCUGCAUGGAAAUUUGGAAGAAGAGAUCUAUAUGGAGCAGCCAGAAGGUUUUGAAGUAAAGGCGAAGAAACACAUGGUGUGAAAGUUGAAAAAAGAGUCUUUAUGGGCUGAAACAAGCGCCUAGGCUGUGGUACAAGAAGUUUGACUCAUUCAUGAGAAGUCAAACGUACACAAAGACUUUUUCAGAUCCAUGUGUAUAUUAUAAGAAAUUCUCUAACAAUGACACUAUCAUCUUGUUGUUAUAUGUGGAUGACAUGUUGAUUGUAGGAAACGACAAGAAGUUGAUUGCCAAGUUGAAGGAAGAUUUGUCCAAGUCAUUUGACAUGAAAGACUUGGGUCCAGCAUGAUAAAUUCUAGGAAUGGAGAUUGUCCGAGAUAUAAGUAUUAAUAAGUUGUUGUUAUCACAACAUAAGUAUAUUGAACGUAUACUUAAACGCUUCAACCUGAUGAGUGCUAAACCAGUUAACACGCCUCUUGUUGGUCAUAUGAAGUUGAACAAGACAAUGUGUCCUACAACAAAGGAAGAUAAAGAAAGUAUGGCUAAAGUUCCAUAUUCCUCUGCCGUCGGGAGCCUGAUGUAUGCAAUGGUAUGUACCAGAUCUGAUAUUGCUCAUGUUGUCGGUAUUGUUAGCAGGUUUCUUGAUAAUCCCGAAAAAGAACAUUGAGAAGCUGUGAAGUGGACACUUAGGUAUCUAAAAGGAACCUCAGAUGAAUGCUUGUGUUUUGGGAGAUCAGAUCCAGUCUUGAAGGGCUACACGGAUACUGAUAUGGCAGUUGAUCUUGAUAAUCGUAAAUCUACUACAGGAUACCUGUUCACAUUCUCAGGGGGAGCUAUAUCAUGGCAGUCUAAAUUGCAGAAGUGUGUCGCACUCUUUACAACUGAAGCAAAGUAUAUUGCCUCUACUGAAGCUGGAAAGGAGAUGGUUUAGCUGAAACGAUUCUUUCAAGAGCUUGGAUUGCAUCAAAAGGAGUAUGUCGUCUAUUGUGACAGUCAAAGUGCAAUAGACCUGAGCAAAAACACCAUGUAUCACGCAAGGACAAAGCAUAUCGACGUGAGAUAUCACUGGAUUCGAGAAAGAAUAAAGGAUGGAUCUAUACAGGUCAAGAAGAUCCAUACAAGUGAGAAUCCUUCGGAUAUGCUGAACAAGGUGGUACCAAGAGAUAAAUUUGAGCUAUGCAAAGAACUUGUCGGCAUGCACUCAAACUAGAAACUCCGGUGUUACCUCCUUCAGGUGCAUGGGACUGGAGGGGGAGAUUUGUUGGGUCCAUCCCAUAUGUGAAAGAGAAGUUUUCUUUUGCUUUGAAAACUUCAAGCCAACAAAUUAAUACUAGAAAAGAUUUGGGAGGACUUUUGCAGUAGUGUUGAUGUCAUUACAUACAUCAUCAUGGGCAUUCUGUAACUAUAAAUAGGUGUCUCUACUUUCAUUUGUAGACACACCAAAACAAAGAAAAAGAGAGUGAUUUACAGAGUAAGAAGCAAAAUACUCAGUGAGGAAAAAUAUAAAUAGUUUGAGCGGUAUUGUAGUGAGGUGGAAAAAUCAAAAGAGGGUUAUUUCUUUUGAGUGUUUAGUGGUCUUGGAGUAUUUUAUUCGGUACCAUAAAUUAUAAAAUUCUUGUUAUAGUGAAAUCAAUUGCUCCUCUCGGACAGUGGUUUUUUCCUUAUUUAGAAGGGUUUUUCAUGUAAAAAUCUCGGUGCCCUUGUUUCUUUUAUUAUUACUGUUGGUUACAGUAUUUUAGUAAUCCGUAUUUAUUAUAGUCGUAUGCCGUGAAUAUUAUUUCUGUGGGGGUUAAUUUUCCCAACCAAGGUUUCCCAAUUUGACAAGGACUAUAGGUUUUCAUUUUCAAGUCUAUUAGGACAAUGAAUUUUCCUAAACCUAUAGGGAUUAUGAGUAUCCUAAAAAUACAAGGAAAUAAUUCAAGCCACAAAAUAACAAUAUCUAAAGUUGCUUCUCUCUAUUCUGAUUUCAAUACCGACUUCACAACCAUGGUUCAUCAACGAAAGAAUGACGUUUGAGAGAUGAAUAACAACCAGAGCCACUAGUGAGGCGGCUUCUCAAAGUUUCUAUCUUUAAUCGAUUUGCAAUAAUACAUUAACUUCCAUCUCUCCAGCUAAUUGGAUUAAAAAUUCUGGGUUGAAAUAUUGGAAUAAUGCUCAUACAUACUGUAUUUUACUAUAUAGCUAAGAAUUGUUUUACAACCUCAUGUUGCUCUGUCAUCAAGAAAUUUCUAAUGAGAUC
rnacentral:lncRNA from 1 species